GAUGAACGCUGGCGGCGUGCUUAACACAUGCAAGUCGAACGAUGAAGCCCAGCUUGCUGGGUGGAUUAGUGGCGAACGGGUGAGUAACACGUGAGUAACCUGCCCUUGACUCUGGGAUAAGCCCGGGAAACUGGGUCUAAUACCGGAUAGGAGCGCCUGUCGCAUGACGGGUGCUGGAAAGAUUUUUCGGUCAUGGAUGGACUCGCGGCCUAUCAGCUUGUUGGUGAGGUAAUGGCUCACCAAGGCGACGACGGGUAGCCGGCCUGAGAGGGUGACCGGCCACACUGGGACUGAGACACGGCCCAGACUCCUACGGGAGGCAGCAGUGGGGAAUAUUGCACAAUGGGCGGAAGCCUGAUGCAGCGACGCCGCGUGAGGGAUGACGGCCUUCGGGUUGUAAACCUCUUUCAGCAGGGAAGAAGCGAAAGUGACGUAC
rnacentral:rRNA from 1 species